rnacentral:rRNA from 1 species
UACGUAGGGGGCGAGCGUUAUCCGGAAUUACUGGGCGUAAAGCGCACGCAGGCGGUUUCUUAAGUUUGACGUGAAAACUCCUGGCUUAACUGGGAGAGGUCGUUGAAGACUGGGGAACUUGAGGCAAUGAGAGGGAUGUAGAAUUCACGGUGUAGUGGUGGAAUGCGUAGAUAUCGUGAGGAAUACCAGUGGCGAAAGCGACAUCCUGGCAUUAGCCUGACGCUCAUGUGCGAAAGCGUGGGGAGCGAACGGG